rnacentral:rRNA from 1 species
GACGAACGCUGGCGGCGUGCCUAAUACAUGCAAGUAGAACGCUGAAGGAGGAGCUUGCUCUUCUGGAUGAGUUGCGAACGGGUGAGUAACGCGUAGGUAACCUGCCUGGUAGCGGGGGAUAACUAUUGGAAACGAUAGCUAAUACCGCAUAACAGUAGAUGUUGCAUGACAUUUGCUUAAAAGGUGCAAUUGCACCACUACCAGAUGGACCUGCGUUGUAUUAGCUAGUUGGUGGGGUAACGGCUCACCAAGGCGACGAUACAUAGCCGACCUGAGAGGGUGAUCGGCCACACUGGGACUGAGACACGGCCCAGACUCCUACGGGAGGCAGCAGUAGGGAAUCUUCGGCAAUAGACGGAAGUCUGACCGAGCAACGCCGCGUGAGUGAAGAAGGUUUUCGGAUCGUAAAGCUCUGUUGUAAGAGAAGAACGAGUGUGAGAGUGGAAAGUUCACACUGUGACGGUAUCUUACCAGAAAGGGACGGCUAACUACGUG